rnacentral:rRNA from 1 species
AGUGAACGCUGGCGGUAGGCCUAACACAUGCAAGUCGAACGGCAGCACAGGAGAGCUUGCUCUCUGGGUGGCGAGUGGCGGACGGGUGAGGAAUACAUCGGAAUCUACUUUUUCGUGGGGGAUAACGUAGGGAAACUUACGCUAAUACCGCCUACGACCGACGGGUGAACGCAGGGGAUCUUCGGAUCUUGCGCGAUUGAAUGAGCCGAUGUGGGAUUAGCUAGUUGGCGGGGUAAAGGCCCACCAAGGCGACGAUCCGUAGCUGGUCUGAGAGGAGGAUCAGCCACACUGGAACUGAGACACGGUCCAGACUCCUACGGGAGGCAGCGGUGGGGAAUAUUGGACAAUGGGCGCAAGCCUGAUCCAGCCAUACCGCGUGGGUGAAGAAGGCCUUCGGGUUGUAAAGCCCUUUUGUUGGGAAAGAAAUCCAGCUGGUUAAUACCCGGUUGGGAUGACGGUACCCAAAGAAUAAGCACCGGCUAACUUCGUGCCAGCCGCCGCCGUAA